rnacentral:tRNA from 1 species
GGCAGCAUGGUGUAGUGGUUUGAAUGUUGGACUAUGACUCUGAAGACCAGGGUUUGAAUCCCUGCUGAGCCA